rnacentral:lncRNA from 1 species
GGGGAAUAUCUUCCAAAGCCCGAAGGGAAAGUUAGUCUCCCUGUCUCACUAGAAGCUUAGUUUGAAAGAUUGUUUCUAAAAUUUCAGAUUCCAGUUCUGCAAAAACAUGUGUCCCAAUUGCCUUUAGGUAGAGUCAAUAUGAGACAACUCCUGUAAGCUGUUAUCAUGAAUAAGCGUGCAAAAAAUAUGUAAUAACAGAAGCAAAUUCAUACAAAUGCUCUACCUAAUGACUCAUCAGUUUUAUCCUCACACAUGUAUAGGGUGAACCUGGAGAAGCUGGUAACCCUGGACCUCCUGGAGAAUCUGGAACAUCUGGUCCAAAAGGUGAAAGGGGAGAAAAAGGUGAGGCUGGUCCACCUGGAGCAGCUGGACCACCAGGUGCUAAAGGACCUCCAGGUGAUGAUGGGCCUAAGGGUAACCCAGGUCCAGUUGGUUUUCCUGGAGAUCCUGGUCCCCCUGGAGAGCCUGGUCCAGCUGUAAGUAUAUUUGAAAAGCAGUUUUAGGUCCUGGACUUGGUUUGCAUUCAAUUGCAGUUACCCACAUCUCUUCUUGGUUUGGAAAGGAGGUCUUUCCUGUCAGAUUUAUUGCUUUGGC